rnacentral:ncRNA from 1 species
AAAGACUUAGUCCUAACCUUACAGUUAAUUCUUGCUAAACAUAUACAUGCAAGUAUCCGCGCACCAGUGUAAAUGCCCUCAAUCUCUUGCUUGCAAGACAAAGGAGCGGGUAUCAGGCACACCUGUAAUUGAACCGUAGCCCAAGACGCCUUGCUUAGCCACACCCCCACGGGUAUUCAGCAGUAGUUAACAUUAAGCCAUAAGUGUAAACUUGACUUAGUUAUAGCAACACUCAGGGUCGGUAAAUCUUGUGCCAGCCACCGCGGUCACACAAGAGGCCCAAAUUAACCGUAUACACGGCGUAAAGAGUGGUACCAUGCUAUCCCAUCAACUAGGAUCAAAGUGCAACUGAGCUGUCGUAAGCCCAAGAUGCAUUAAAAGCCACCCUCAAGACGAUCUUAGCACCCCCGAUCAAUUGAACCCCACGAAAGCUGGGACACAAACUGGGAUUAGAUACCCCACUAUGCCCAGCCCUAAAUCUUGAUGCUUACCCCACUGAAGCAUCCGCCUGAGAACUACGAGCACAAACGCUUAAAACUCUAAGGACUUGGCGGUGCCCCAAACCCACCUAGAGGAGCCUGUUCUGUAAUCGAUAACCCACGAUACACCCAACCGUCCCUUGCCACAGCAGCCUACAUACCGCCGUCGCCAGCUCACCUCUACCUGAGAGUGCAACAGUGAGCACAAUAGCCCUACGCCGCUAACAAGACAGGUCAAGGUAUAGCUCAUGGGGCGGAAGAAAUGGGCUACAUUUUCUAAGAUAGAAAACACGAAAAGGGGUAUGAAACUACCCCUGGAAGGCGGAUUUAGCAGUAAAGCGGGACAAUAAAGCCCCCUUUAAGUCGGCCCUGGAGCACGUACAUACCGCCCGUCACCCUCCUCAUAAGCCCCUAUUGCUCAUAACUAAUACACCUACCAGCUGAAGAUGAGGUAAGUCGUAACAAGGUAAGUGUACCGGAAGGUGCACUUAGCACA